rnacentral:rRNA from 1 species
UACGGAGGGUGCAAACGUUGUCCGGAAUCACUGGGCGUAAAGCGCAUGUAGGUGGUUUUGUAAGUGAACGAUUAAAGACCGAUGCUUAACGUCGGGAAGGUUGUUCAUACUGCAAAACUUGAGUGUGGCAGGGGUAAGCGGAACUUUAGGUGUAGGAGUGAAAUCCGUAGAUAUCUAAAGGAACACCAAUGGCGAAGGCAGCUUACUGGGCCAUUUCUGACACUAAGAUGCGAAAGCGUGGGGAGCAAACGGG